GCACCUUUAGCUCAGCAGGUAGUAGCGGUUGUUUUACAUACAACAGGUCACAGGUUCGAUCCCUGUAGGGUGCACGA
rnacentral:tRNA from 1 species